ensembl:lncRNA
CUUCCAUUCAUUAGAGAACCAUCAUUGCAUGAUGACAUUUCCUUCUUUUCACUGGCAGGCAGUAUUAAUUCUGGCACCAUUAGCAAAUCUACAUAUUGGCAAUAGUGACCAUAAAUCCUCUGUUAACUCCCAUGUCUCAUCUUGACUAUCAAGAUUAUUACAUGGAAAGACCUUUGAACCCACCAAAUGGUUGAAGUUUUUGGUGUACUUCUGCUUCACAUUCAGUGGUUGAAUUACCACCGGAUCUGUUGUUCAGUAUGUGUCCAAGAAGGUUCUGCUCUGAAUUAGUGAAUCUUGUUACACGUGUGCAUAUGAGACUUGCAUCAUGCAGUCACUUGUGCUCAGACAGCACAUGAGCAGGUGGUAAUCACAACAGUGUCCAUUUAGAUUACAGUGUUAAACGCUGCUCUGAUGGAUUACAUUUCAUGGCCCAUUUAGCUUAUGGUUGGCAAGAAAAUGCAAAAAGGCAAGAAUUUUUUCCCACAUUUGCUGAUCUGGCGUCAUUUUAGGCAUCACAAAAAUAGCAUUUCACAAAACUCAAGCCAAUCUACCAACGGAAAUACUGAAGAAGUUAUUCCCAUAUUUAGUCCACCUAGAACCCCUAACUGUAAACAUGAUAGCACACAAAAAUUAGGUGUGCACUGGAAGGGAGCAGC